rnacentral:rRNA from 1 species
UACGUAGGGGGCAAGCGUUGUCCGGAAUUAUUGGGCGUAAAGAGCGUGUAGGCGGUCCGGUAAGUCAGCUGUGAAAGUCAAGGGCUCAACCCUUGAAUGCCGGUUGAUACUGUCGGGCUAGAGUCCGGAAGAGGCGAGUGGAAUUCCCGGUGUAGCGGUGAAAUGCGCAGAUAUCGGGAGAACACCAGUGGCGAAGGCGGACUCACUGGACCGGCUACUGGACGC